AGCCAUGACAGACAGAAAACGGCGCCAUUUCCAGCGUUCCUGAGUGUAAAACGGAUGAAAACUGCCAAACGUCAGGAGGAAAACAGCUAUGCGGCGGUGGAAACGGUGGGGGGCCGGAUGCGCCGAAAAUGUCUGAAGAGAGCCAAGGUGGAGCUUUUAUUCUCAGCUCAAGGAUGAAAUAAACCGCUGCACCUGCACAGGAGGAAAAGAGGACAGAAGACAGGAGACGGCAACCAAGACGGCACAGGGCCGUAACUGUCCUAAUUUGCAAAAAAAAAAAAAUCAGCAAUGUUUUACACGCUGAAAGGUCUGCGAUUUCAUAAAUGUUAACUAUGACAUUUCUGUGGUUUAAUAAUUUAGAUUCUGUAAAUAAAGAGAGCCCAUUUUUCAAACUCUUGACAGUUCCUUUUACAUCCUGUCCUUUUACCCUAUGAUGGUUUUUUAUCAAGAUGUUCGAAAG
rnacentral:lncRNA from 1 species